rnacentral:rRNA from 1 species
GACGAACGCUGGCGGCGUGCCUAACACAUGCAAGUCGAGCGGUAAGGCCCUUUCGGGGGUACACGAGCGGCGAACGGGUGAGUAACACGUGGGUGACCUGCCCUUAGCUCUGGGAUAAGCCUGGGAAACUGGGUCUAAUACCGGAUAUGACUCCAUGACGCAUGUUGUGGGGUGGAAAGCCUUGUGCGGCUAGGGAUGGGCCCGCGGCCUAUCAGCUUGUUGGUGGGGUGAUGGCCACCAAGGCGACGACGGGUAGCCGGCCUGAGAGGGCGACCGGCCACACUGGGACUGAGACACGGCCCAGACUCCUACGGGAGGCAGCAGUGGGGAAUCUUGCGCAAUGGGCGAAAGCCUGACGCAGCGACGCCGCGUGGGGAUGACGGCCU